rnacentral:rRNA from 1 species
UACGUAGGGUGCGAGCGUUGUCCGGAAUUAUUGGGCGUAAAGAGCUCGUAGGCGGCUUGUCGCGUCGGAUGUGAAAGCCCGGGGCUUAACUCCGGGUCUGCAUUCGAUACGGGCAGGCUAGAGUUCGGUAGGGGAGAUCGGAAUUCCUGGUGUAGCGGUGAAAUGCGCAGAUAUCAGGAGGAACACCGGUGGCGAAGGCGGAUCUCUGGGCCGAUACUGACGCUGAGGCACGAAAGCUAGGGGAGCAAACAGG